GGGUGCAAGCGUUACUCGGAAUUACUGGGCGUAAAGCGUGCGUAGGUGGUCGUUUAAGUCCGUUGUGAAGCCCUGGGCUCAACCUGGGGAACUGCAGUGGAUACUGGGCGACUAGAGUGUGGUAGAGGGUAGCGGAAUUCCUGGUGUAGCAGUGAAAUGCGUAGAGAUCAGGAGGAACAUCCAUGGCGAAGGCAGCUACCUGGACCAACACUGACACUGAGGCACGAAAGCGUGGGGAGCAAACAGGA
rnacentral:rRNA from 1 species